rnacentral:lncRNA from 10 species
ACUCAUCCCCCAUCAGUACAUCGUGGUCCAAGACACGUUGAUAUCCUGAGUGAGUCUGCACCCUCCCAGCCUCUUCCCGGCUCGUUCUGCAGGGAAAUCCUCCCUCUGUUGAUAGCAUCGCAAACCUGGUGGCAAUCUGUGCGUGGACAGGACCCUCCCAAAUUUAGCAUUAUGACUUCACCACAGGAUCAAGAGAAGAUGAAUUGUGGGGGAGAAGGGGCUUUCUUUGUCAUCAGUAGCCAGAGGGGCCAGGAGAGCAGUGGAGAGACCUGGGACCGGCUUGGAUGCUCUGAGCGGGGCUAGAGGCGCUACGACAGUGUGUGGCGGUGUCCUGCCACGACGCCGCCGUCUCCAGAGCCACCACACAGUUGACUGUCCUUACCCGGCAGUGCUCAGGACCUC